GAUCAUUACCGAGUGAGGGCCCUCUGGGUCCAACCUCCCACCCGUGUCUAUCGUACCUUGUUGCUUCGGCGGGCCCGCCGUUUCGACGGCCGCCGGGGAGGCCUUGCGCCCCCGGGCCCGCGCCCGCCGAAGACCCCAACAUGAACGCUGUUCUGAAAGUAUGCAGUCUGAGUUGAUUAUCGUAAUCAGUUAAAACUUUCAACAACGGAUCUCUUGGUUCCGGCAUCGAUGAAGAACGCAGCGAAAUGCGAUAAGUAAUGUGAAUUGCAGAAUUCAGUGAAUCAUCGAGUCUUUGAACGCACAUUGCGCCCCCUGGUAUUCCGGGGGGCAUGCCUGUCCGAGCGUCAUUGCUGCCCUCAAGCACGGCUUGUGUGUUGGGCCCCCGUCCCCCUCUCCCGGGGGACGGGCCCGAAAGGCAGCGGCGGCACCGCGUCCGGUCCUCGAGCGUAUGGGGCUUUGUCACCUGCUCUGUAGGCCCGGCCGGCGCCAGCCGACACCCAACUUUAUUUUUCUAAGGUUGACCUCGGAUCAGGUAGGGAUACCCGCUGAACUUAAGCAUAUCAAUAAGCGGAGGAAAAGAAACCAACAGGGAUUGCCUCAGUAACGGCGAGUGAAGCGGCAAGAGCUCAAAUUUGAAAGCUGGCCCCUUCGGGGUCCGCGUUGUAAUUUGCAGAGGAUGCUUCGGGUGCAGCCCCCGUCUAAGUGCCCUGGAACGGGCCGUCAUAGAGGGUGAGAAUCCCGUCUGGGACGGGGUGUCUGCGUCCGUGUGAAGCUCCUUCGACGAGUCGAGUUGUUUGGGAAUGCAGCUCUAAAUGGGUGGUAAAUUUCAUCUAAAGCUAAAUACUGGCCGGAGACCGAUAGCGCACAAGUAGAGUGAUCGAAAGAUGAAAAGCACUUUGAAAAGAGAGUUAAACAGCACGUGAAAUUGUUGAAAGGGAAGCGUUUGCGACCAGACUCGCCCGCGGGGUUCAGCCGGCAUUCGUGCCGGUGUACUUCCCCGUGGGCGGGCCAGCGUCGGUUUGGGCGGCCGGUCAAAGGCCCUCGGAAUGUAUCACCUCUCGGGGUGUCUUAUAGCCGAGGGUGCAAUGCGGCCUGCCUGGACCGAGGAACGC
rnacentral:rRNA from 2 species